GACGAACGCUGGCGGCGUGCUUAACACAUGCAAGUCGAACGGAAAGGCCCUGCUUUUGUGGGGUGCUCGAGUGGCGAACGGGUGAGUAACACGUGAGUAACCUGCCCUUGACUUUGGGAUAACUUCAGGAAACUGGGGCUAAUACCGGAUAGGAGCUCCUGCUGCAUGGUGGGGGUUGGAAAGUUUCGGCGGUUGGGGAUGGACUCGCGGCUUAUCAGCUUGUUGGUGUGGUAGUGGCUUACCAAGGCUUUGACGGGUAGCCGGCCUGAGAGGGUGACCGGCCACAUUGGGACUGAGAUACGGCCCAGACUCCUACGGGAGGCAGCAGGGGGGAAUAUUGCACAAUGGGCGGAAGCCAGAUGCAGCAACGCCGCGUGCGGGAUGACGGCCUUCGGGUUGUAAACCGCUUUCGCCUGUGACGAAGCGUGAGUGACGGUAAUGGGUAAAGAAGCACCGGCUAACUACGUG
rnacentral:rRNA from 1 species